CAGCAGCAGUCGGAAAGUUUCUUAUAUGCUUUUUAGGCUAGAGAGAAACCAAGGCACAUUGAAAACCAUGCUACAGUGGAAAUGCAACCAAGAAAAAAAAAAGAAUUUUUUUUUUUUUUUUAAGGAAAUGUGACCAAGGACAACCCAGGGGAUGACCAAGUUGAGGACAUCUUCUAGAUUGAUGAAGAUCUCUCUGUGAAGCCAAUCAAGAAGAUGAUCGUGCCAUUCAAUAGAAGUGGGCGAAUGGCAUGAUCAAAGAUGAUAGAAAGGGGUCAAUGUUAUUGGGGAAGAUGCAUAUUUGGAGUAGAUAAAUUAGAUAAAAAUUUAACUUCUAUGAGCUUCGACUUCUUCGAUUAAAAUGAGUAUAAAAAUAACCACAUGCCAGAAUUAUGGUGGAGGUUGAUGCCUGGCAGUGGCUGCCUACCUGGCAAAGAACCAUGUGAUGCUAUUUGCUUUUGAUCUUCUUGGAAUUAUUCACCUCAAUACUGAAGCAAAAAGGGCCUCGGCAGGUUGGCAGAUACAAAUCUACUCUUCACAACAUGUUGGACUUGUAGCUACCCAGAAGCAUGGCAAGAUUCUUAAAAGAUUUACCUGGUCCUUUAUGCAGAGCAAGAGCAAGAGGAAGUACACUGAUUUGCA
rnacentral:lncRNA from 1 species